rnacentral:rRNA from 1 species
UACAGGGGGUGCGAGCGUUGUCCGGAAUCACUGGGCGUAAAGGGCGCGUAGGUGGUUUGAUAAGGGUGUGGUGAAAGUCCGGGGCUCAACCCCGGAUCUGCCGUGCCGACUGUCAAACUCGAGGGCUGUAGAGGCAGACGGAAUUCCGGGUGUAGCGGUGGAAUGCGUAGAGAUCCGGAGGAAGACCGGUGGCGAAGGCGGGUCUCUGGGCCGAUACUGACGCUGAGGAGCGAAAGCGUGGGGAGCGAACAGG